rnacentral:rRNA from 1 species
UAUUGCGCAAUGGGGGGAACCCUGACGCAGCAACGCCGCGUGAGUGAAGAAGGCCUUCGGGUCGUAAAACUCUGUCAUUAGGGAAGAAUAAAGUGACGGUACCUAAUGAGGAAGCCCCGGCUAACUACGUGCCAGCAGCCGCGGUAAUACGUAGGGGGCGAGCGUUGUCCGGAAUUACUGGGCGUAAAGGGUGCGUAGGCGGACAAUUAAGUCAGAUGGGAAAUACCGAGGCUCAACCUCGGAGGUGCAUUUGAAACUGUUGGGCUUGAGUGCAGGAGAGGAAAGUGGAAGUCCUAGUGUAGCGGUGAAAUGCGUAGAGAUUAGGAGGAACACCAGUGGCGAAGGCGACUUUCUGGACUGUAACUGACGCUGAGGCACGAAAGCGUGGGGAGCAAACA